rnacentral:rRNA from 1 species
UACGAAGGGGGCUAGCGUUGUUCGGAAUUACUGGGCGUAAAGCGCGCGCAGGCGGCUAUCCAAGUCAGUGGUGAAAGCCCGGAGCUCAACUCCGGAACUGCCAUUGAAACUGUUUAGCUUGAGUAUGAGAGAGGUGAGUGGAAUUCCCAGUGUAGAGGUGAAAUUCGUAGAUAUUGGGAAGAGCACCGGUGGCGAAGGCGGCUCACUGGCUCAUUACUGACGCUCAGGCGCGACAGCGUGGGGAUCAAACAGG